rnacentral:rRNA from 1 species
UACGAAGGGGGCUAGCGUUGUUCGGAAUCACUGGGCGUAAAGGGCGCGUAGGCGGCGACUCAAGUUAGAUGUGAAAGUCCUGGGCUUAACCUGGGGACUGCAUUUGAUACUGGGUUGCUUGAAUUCGGGAGAGGAUAGCGGAAUUCCCAGUGUAGAGGUGAAAUUCGUAGAUAUUGGGAAGAACACCGGUGGCGAAGGCGGCUAUCUGGACCGACAUUGACGCUGAGGCGCGAAAGCGUGGGGAGCAAACAGG